AUACGUAGGGGGCGAGCGUUGUCCGGAAUGACUGGGCGUAAAGGGCGUGUAGGCGGCGGAUUAAGUCUGGAGUGAAAGUCCUGCUUUCAAGGUGGGAAUUGCUUUGGAUACUGGUCGGCUUGAGUGCGGAAGAGGUAAGUGGAAUUCCCAGUGUAGCGGUGAAAUGCGUAGAGAUUGGGAGGAACACCAGUGGCGAAGGCGACUUACUGGGCCGUAACUGACGCUGAGGCGCGAAAGCGUGGGGAGCGAACAGGAUUAGAUACCCUGGUAGUCCACGCGGUAAACGAUGAAUGCUAGGUGUAGGGGGUAUCGACCCCUCCUGUGCCGGAGUAAACACAAUAAGCAUUCCGCCUGGGGAGUACGGCCGCAAGGUUGAAACUCAAAUGAAUUGACGGGG
rnacentral:rRNA from 1 species